GAUGAACGCUGGCGACGUGCUUAACACAUGCAAGUCGAACGAAGCACUUUAACCUGAUUCUUCGGAUGAAGGUUUUUGUGACUGAGUGGCGGACGGGUGAGUAACGCGUGGGUAACCUGCCUCAUACAGGGGGAUAACAGUUAGAAAUGACUGCUAAUCCCGCAUAAGACCACGGAGCCGCAUGGCUCAGUGGGAAAAACUCCGGUGGUAUGAGAUGGACCCGCGUCUGAUUAGGUAGUUGGUGGGGUAACGGCCUACCAAGCCAACGAUCAGUAGCCGACCUGAGAGGGUGACCGGCCACAUUGGGACUGAGACACGGCCCAAACUCCUACGGGAGGCAGCAGUGGGGAAUAUUGCACAAUGGGGGAAACCCUGAUGCAGCGACGCCGCGUGAGCGAAGAAGUAUUUCGGUAUGUAAAGCUCUAUCAGCAGGGAAGAAAAUGACGG
rnacentral:rRNA from 1 species